rnacentral:tRNA from 1 species
UUAAUUGAAACCAAAAAGAGGUAUAUUAUUGUUAAUAAUAUCAUUGAAUAUAAUAUUCCAAUUAAG